rnacentral:misc_RNA from 1 species
GAGUGUUUGUACUUCCAUACUAAUAGAUAUAAAACAAAGGAGUGUUGCUUAACAAAAUACUCAAACUAUAAAGAAACAAAAGAGAAUUUAUCUAAAUUAAUAAGAUUCUAAUGCUUUCAUCAUCCUCCUUCUUAAAAAAAGUAAGUCUUAAAUAUAUCAAGUAAGGUCUUCAUCACUACUACUUUCAUCCCCCUCCUCCUGUUUAUCUUCUCAACCUUGAUUGUUUUUGCUAGAAUAUUGAUGAUUUAACGGUUGCAUAUCUUCUUGUGGUGGUUGAGCGCCCAAUGAGGUCAAUGUGUCUGUAUUUAAUUGAAGUCCUAGAUACAUACGCUUUAGUCGUCCAAGAAUAUCAUUUGUAACUUCUUGUUGUAUAGCUUCUUAUUGUUGUUCUAUUUUUUCAAAAAUCCUUUGAUGCAUCCUGUCUUCAAAUUUCAUCAUUUUUUUCCACCCUCUCAUCAUUAGAAGUUGAAAAAGGCUCAGAAAGCGCUUUCCAUUUAGAAGUAGUUUUGGUAACUCCUCGUCCAUACAAUCUCACGAUCCCUGGGUGUUCUUUACCCAUGACUGUUGUAAUAGCUUAAAAUAAAUGAUCGUCAUGUUUUCUUAUCUUCCAUCAUUCUACGUCUACUAAUCUUCCCAACUUUAAUCUUCCAUUGUCCUUCUUCUUCUAAGCUCCUCUAUGUUUUCUUCUUCUGCUAAGCUCCUGUAAUUA